UGGGGAAUAUCGGACAAUGGGGGGAACCCUGAUCCAGCCAUGCCGCGUGUGUGAAGAAGGCCUUAUGGUUGUAAAGCACUUUAAGCGAGGAGGAGGCUCUUUUGGUUAAUACCCAAGAUGAGUGGACGUUACUCGCAGAAUACGCACCGGCUAACUCUGUGCCAGCAGCCGCGGUAAUACAGAGGGUGCAAGCGUUAAUCGGAAUUACUGGGCGUAAAGCGCGCGUAGGUGGUUCGUUAAGUUGAAUGUGAAAGCCCCGGGGUCAACCUGGGAACUGCAUCCAAAACUGGCGAGAUAGAGGAGGGCAGAGGGUGGUGGAAUUUCCUGUGUAGCGGUGAAAUGCGUAGAUAUAGGAAGGAACACCAGUGGCGAAGGCGACCACCUGGGCUCAUACUGACACUGAGGUGCGAAAGCGUGGGGAGCAAACAAG
rnacentral:rRNA from 1 species